UGGUAAAUAAAUCUUUAACAAAAAAAAUUAGCAGUGUCGUCUGACUUUAACGGCGGGGUUUUAAUUGUUGUUAAACUGUACGAAAACUUUAAACCCUUCACUGUUAUAUUCAUCCAUCUAUAUAUAUGAUCUAUCUAUCUAUAGCCUUCUUCACAAUCACAACAUUUUUACCCAUUUCAGUUCUAGCGUUAUUUAUUGUUGGUGUAAAAAAUAUUACUGUACUAUUUAUCUAUGUGAAGGUAAGUACUGUAAGUCGUUUGAUCCAACCAAAAAAAAAAUAAAAAAGUGUAAUUCACAUUAUACAUUUAAUAUGAACAUUAACUAAAUUUUCAAUAUAUAUAUAUAUAUAUAUAAUACUAGUAUGUUAAAUUAAAUUGAUAUAUAAGAUGUUUUCCCUUAUAUAUUAUUUAAAGCCAACUAUAUAUACUUUUUUGUUAUAAUGUGACAAAGUAAGCUUAGCUCAUAUCCAAGAAGAGCUGAGGGGACCUUUUUCUUGAUUACCGAUCGCAGUAAGUAGUAACUGAUGGAUCGUUGUCUUUUUUUUUUUUUUUUUUUUUAACUUUGUCUUAUAUAUGAAAUCGUCUAUGCGUGAUGAAGAGUAAUAAUAUGAAGUUUAAGCUAAUUAAUGAAAUUAUUUUUUUAUUUCCCAAACAACAACAACAACAACAACAGCAGCAGAAAGUAGUUGUUCGCUGUACGUACGGGAUGGAUUCUCCUCAAUAUCUUAAGGUUCUGUCUUUCUCUUUACUUCUUCUAAUGCAUGCAUGAGACUCUGUUAAAAGUUGGUUUUUAUGCGGAUAUUAUUUAAUUUCUUCGACAGUAUUAACGUAUUAUAAUAUACUAUAUACUCC
rnacentral:lncRNA from 1 species